AAUGAACGUUGGCGGCGUGGAUUAGGCAUGCAAGUCGCACGAGAAACUAAUUAGCUUGCUAAGAAGUGGACAGUGGCGCAAGGGAGAGUAACGCGUGGUUACUUGCCCUCGAGACCGGGAUAGUGUUGGGAAACUGGCAGUAAUACCGGAUAACAUCUUCGGAUCAAAUGGUGUGAUUCCGCUCGAGGAUAGGACCGCGUACUAUUAGCUUGUUGGUGAGGUAACGGCUCACCAAGGCUGCGAUGGUUACCGGGUGUGAGAGCAUGGCCCGGCUCACUGGGACUGAGACACUGCCCAGACACCUACGGGUGGCUGCAGUCGAGAAUCUUCGGCAAUGGACGAAAGUCUGACCGAGCGACGCCGCGUGCGGGAUGAAGGCCCUCGGGUUGUAAACCGCUGUCAGUAGUUAGGAAAUCCAUGAGGGUUAUCUCUCAUGGUUGACCGAUCUUCAGAGGAAGGACGGGCUAAGUUCGUGCCAGCAAG
rnacentral:rRNA from 1 species